rnacentral:rRNA from 1 species
UAUAGCCAUACCACCCUGAUCGUGAUCCAUCUUGUCUGAUCUUAGAAGCUAAGCAGAGUUGGGCCUGGUUAGUAGUUGGGUGGGAGAAAAUAAUACAUGUGGCCUCAAAUCAAAAUAGGAUCCGCAUAUAU